CCUCCAACUAGUUUCAUCCAUGGGAUCGGUGGCUCCACUAGAGAUUUUGCCAAAACAGGUCUAGCCGUACGCCAAUUGAAAGACUUCAUCGGAAAGAGCUCGCCACUCUUGUUUUUUUAAGUUGGAACAAUGUCAAAGCAUGAUCAAAAUGGCAAAGGCACAGCUUGCACCAUCAACCUUGGCUUUAGGCGAGGGAGAAACGGCAAAAAAUACUAAGGGGAUUAGAACAAGUUCUGGCAUGUUUAUAAGUGCAUCCGAAGACAAAACAUGUACCUUGGAUCUCAUUGAGGAGAAAAUUGCAAGGCUACCACGAUUCCCAGGAGCCAUGGUGAGGUAAUUCCACUCUAACUUGAAUCAUUAUC